rnacentral:rRNA from 1 species
UUAAGUGACUAAGCGUACACGGUGGAUGCCUGGGCAGUCAGAGGCGAUGAAGGACGUACUAACUUGCGAUAAGCGCAGAUAAGGCAGUAAGAGCCGUUUGAGUCUGCGAUUUCCGAAUGGGGAAACCCAACUGCAUAAGCAGUUACUGUUAACUGAAUACAUAGGUUAACAGAGCAAACCGGGGGAACUGAAACAUCUAAGUACCCCGAGGAGAAGAAAUCAACCGAGAUUCCGGUAGUAGCGGCGAGCGAACCUGGAUUAGCCCUUAAGCACUCGGUGAAGUAGGUGAACAAGCUGGAAAGCUUGGCGAUACAGGGUGAUAGCCCCGUAACCGACGCUUCAUCGAGCGUGAAAUCGAGUAGGGCGGGACACGUGAUAUCCUGUCUGAAUAUGGGGGGACCAUCCUCCAAGGCUAAAUACUCCUGACUGACCGAUAGUGAACCAGUACCGUGAGGGAAAGGCGAAAAGAACCCCUGUGAGGGGAGUGAAAUAGAACCUGAAACCGUGUACGUACAAGCAGUAGGAGCACCUUCGUGGUGUGACUGCGUACCUUUUGUAUAAUGGGUCAGCGACUUAUAUUCAGUGGCAAGGUUAACCGUAUAGGGGAGCCGUAGCGAAAGCGAGUCUUAACUGGGCGCUCAGUCUCUGGAUAUAGACCCGAAACCGGGUGAUCUAGCCAUGGGCAGGUUGAAGGUUGAGUAACAUCAACUGGAGGACCGAACCGACUAAUGUUGAAAAAUUAGCGGAUGACUUGUGGCUAGGGGUGAAAGGCCAAUCAAACUCGGAGAUAGCUGGUUCUCCCCGAAAGCUAUUUAGGUAGCGCCUCGGACGAAUACUACUGGGGGUAGAGCACUGUUAAGGCUAGGGGGUCAUCCCGACUUACCAACCCUUUGCAAACUCCGAAUACCAGUAAGUACUAUCCGGGAGACACACGGCGGGUGCUAACGUCCGUCGUGGAGAGGGAAACAACCCAGACCGCCAGCUAAGGUCCCAAAGUAUUGCUAAGUGGGAAACGAUGUGGGAAGGCUCAGACAGCUAGGAUGUUGGCUUAGAAGCAGCCAUCAUUUAAAGAAAGCGUAAUAGCUCACUAGUCGAGUCGGCCUGCGCGGAAGAUGUAACGGGGCUAAGCAAUACACCGAAGCUGUGGCAAUGUCUUUUAGACAUUGGGUAGGGGAGCGUUCUGUAAGCCGUUGAAGGUGAAUCGUAAGGUUUGCUGGAGGUAUCAGAAGUGCGAAUGCUGACAUGAGUAACGACAAAGGGGGUGAAAAACCUCCUCGCCGGAAGACCAAGGGUUCCUGUCCAACGUUAAUCGGGGCAGGGUGAGUCGACCCCUAAGGUGAGGCCGAAAGGCGUAAUCGAUGGGAAACGGGUUAAUAUUCCCGUACUUCUGACUAUUGCGAUGGGGGGCGGAGAAGGCUAGGUGGGCCAGGCGACGGUUGUCCUGGUUCAAGUGCGUAGGCUUGAGAGUUAGGUAAAUCCGGCUCUCUCUAAGGCUGAGACACGACGUCGAGCUACUACGGUAGUGAAGUCAUUGAUGCCAUGCUUCCAGGAAAAGCCUCUAAGCUUCAGAUAGUCAGGAAUCGUACCCCAAACCGACACAGGUGGUCGGGUAGAGAAUACCAAGGCGCUUGAGAGAACUCGGGUGAAGGAACUAGGCAAAAUGGUACCGUAACUUCGGGAGAAGGUACGCUCUUGAUGGUGAAGUCCCUCGCGGAUGGAGCUGACGAGAGUCGCAGAUACCAGGUGGCUGCAACUGUUUAUUAAAAACACAGCACUGUGCAAAAUCGCAAGAUGACGUAUACGGUGUGACGCCUGCCCGGUGCCGGAAGGUUAAUUGAUGGGGUUAGCGCAAGCGAAGCUCUUGAUCGAAGCCCCGGUAAACGGCGGCCGUAACUAUAACGGUCCUAAGGUAGCGAAAUUCCUUGUCGGGUAAGUUCCGACCUGCACGAAUGGCGUAAUGAUGGCCACGCUGUCUCCACCCGAGACUCAGUGAAAUUGAAAUCGCUGUGAAGAUGCAGUGUACCCGCGGCUAGACGGAAAGACCCCGUGAACCUUUACUACAGCUUGGCACUGAACAUUGAACCUACAUGUGUAGGAUAGGUGGGAGGCUAUGAAGACGUGACGCCAGUUGCGUUGGAGCCGUCCUUGAAAUACCACCCUUGUAUGUUUGAUGUUCUAACUUAGACCCAUUAUCUGGGUUGAGGACAGUGCCUGGUGGGUAGUUUGACUGGGGCGGUCUCCUCCCAAAGAGUAACGGAGGAGCACGAAGGUGGGCUAAUCACGGUUGGACAUCGUGAGGUUAGUGCAAUGGCAUAAGCCCGCUUAACUGCGAGAAUGACGGUUCGAGCAGGUGCGAAAGCAGGUCAUAGUGAUCCGGUGGUUCUGUAUGGAAGGGCCAUCGCUCAACGGAUAAAAGGUACUCCGGGGAUAACAGGCUGAUACCGCCCAAGAGUUCAUAUCGACGGCGGUGUUUGGCACCUCGAUGUCGGCUCAUCACAUCCUGGGGCUGAAGUCGGUCCCAAGGGUAUGGCUGUUCGCCAUUUAAAGUGGUACGCGAGCUGGGUUUAGAACGUCGUGAGACAGUUCGGUCCCUAUCUGCCGUGGGCGUUGGAAGAUUGAAGGGGGCUGCUCCUAGUACGAGAGGACCGGAGUGGACGAACCUCUGGUGUUCGGGUUGUGUCGCCAGACGCAUUGCCCGGUAGCUAAGUUCGGAAUUGAUAAGCGCUGAAAGCAUCUAAGCGCGAAGCGAGCCCUGAGAUGAGUCUUCCCUGACAGUUUAACUGUCCUAAAGGGUUGUUCGAGACUAGAACGUUGAUAGGCAGGGUGUGUAAGCGUUGUGAGGCGUUGAGCUAACCUGUACUAAUUGCCCGUGAGGCUUAACCAU